GCACAAGAAGCAGAUGAACUAACCCUUGGGCAAAACCUGAAUAUAAAGGCCCCCCAUGCUGUGGUAACUUUGAUGAAUACCAGAGGACAUCAUUGGCUAACAAAUGCUAGAUUAACCAAGUACCACAGCUUGCUGUGUGAAAUUCCCCGCGUAACUAUUGAAGUCUGUAACACCCUAAAUCCUGCCACCCUGCUCCCAGUAUCAGAGAGCCCUGUUGAGCAUAACUGUAUAGAGGUGUUGGACUCAGUCUAUUCUAGCAGACCUGACCUUCAGGACCAGCCAUGGGCAUCAGUAGACUGAGAGUUAUACGUGGAUGGGAGCAGCUUCAUUAACGCACAAGGGGAAAGAUGUGCAGGAUAUGCAGUGGUAACUUUGGAUGUUGUCAUUGAAGCCAAACCGUUGCCACAGGGCACUUCAGCCCAGAAAGCUGAGCUCUAACUCAGGCUGUAGAACUCAGUGAAGGUAAGACUGUAAACAUCUACACUGACUCUUGAGAUGCCUUUCUAACCCUCCAAGUGCAUGGAGUAUUUUAUAAGGAAAAGGGUCUGUUAAACUCUGGGGGAAAGGACAUAAAAUAUCAAAAAGAAAUUCUACAAUUAUUAGAGGCAGUGUGGAAACCUCAGAAGGUGGCAGUCAUGCACUGCAGGGGACACCAGCAAGCCUCCACCUCAGUGACCUUAGGACACUCUCGAGCUGAUUCAGAAGCUCGAAAAGCAGCAUCUACCCCUUACCAGGUAUCGGUAGUAGCCCCCUUACUCCCUCAAACACCUGACCUGGUAUCUACCUAUUCUAAGGAAGAAAAAGAUUUCUUCCAAGCAGAAGGGGGGCAAGUAAUAAAAGGAGGAUGGAUCAGACUGCCAGAUGCUAGGGUAGCUGUGCUGCAGUUGCUAGGAGCCCCAAUCAUAUUGGCUGUGCAUGAAACCAAUUAUCUAGGUCAAGAGUCACUUGAAAAAUUGUUAGACCGGUACUUCUAUGUCUCACACUUGCCAGCCCUUGCCAAAGCAGUAGCACAACUGUGUGUUACUUGCCAACAGCACAAUGUGAGGCAAGGCCCCAGCAUUCCACCCAGUAUACAAGCUUAUGGAGCGGCUCCUUUUGAGGAUCUUCAAUUGGAUUUCACAGAAAUGUCGAAAUGUGGAGGUCACAAGUAUUUGCUGGUUCUUAUGUGUACUUACUCUGGGUGGGUGGAGGCUUAUCCCACACGAACUGAAAAGGCCUAUGAGGUAACCUGUGUGCUUCUCUGAGAUCUUAUUCCUAGGUUUGGACUGCCCUUAUGAAUCAGCUCAGAUAACAGGCUGGCGUUUGUGGCUGACUUGGUACAGAAGACAGCAAAGGCAUUAGGAAUCACUUGGAAGCUACAUGCCUACCGACCUCAGAGUUCUGGAAAGGUGGAGCAAAUGAAUUGGACCAUCAAAAAUAGUUUAGGGAAAGUAUGUCAGGAAACAGGAUUAAAGUGGAUACAGGUCCUUCCUAUGGUAUUGUUUAAAAUUAGAUGCACUCUUUCUAAGAAAACAGGAUACUCCCCCUUAUGAAAUACUGUAUCAUAGGUCUCCUCCUAUACUACGGGAGCUUCCAGGCACUUCCCGAGUUAGGUGAAGUUGAAUUACAGCGACAGCUACAGGCUUUAGGAAAAAUUACACAAACAAUCCCAACUUAGGUAAAUGAGAGGUGUCCAUCAAGUUAUUCUCCCCAGUUCACCCUUUCUCUCCAGGUGAUCAUGUGUGGAUCAAGGACUGGAAUGUAGCCCCUUUGAGGCCAUGGUGGAAAGGACCUCAGACUGUCAUUCUGACCACCACCAUGGCUGUAAAGGUAGAAGGAAUCCCAGCCUGGAUCCACCACAGCCAUGUGAGACCUGCAGCUGAUGAAACCUAGGAGGCAAAACCGAGCCUGGACAACUCCUGCAAAGUGACUCUGAGGAGGACGGCAAACCCUGCUCCAGUCACACCUGGAAGCUGACUGGUCUACGCAUGGCAGAAGCAUGAGGAGAAUCAAUGUAGGACUCAUUUUCCUUAUAAUUUGGACUUGUAUAGUAAAAACUUCCACUGAUUUUCCCUGCACGGAGGACUGCUCUCAGUGUAUACAUCAGGUUACUGAGUUUACAACAUCAGUAUCUACCUAGCUGGUCAUGAGACAGCAUGGAAUUGAACUCCACUUUUCACCCUCAGCACAACAAAUUAGGGCUGGUGACUUGAGGAGAAAUAUGCCAUUACAGGAGUUGGUGUCCUUUGAGGAUGUGGCUGUGGGCUUCACCUGGAAAGAGUGGCAGGACUUGGAUGAUGCUCAAAGGACUCUGUACAGGGACAUGAUGCUGGAGACCUACAGCAGCUUGGUGUCCUUGGGGUACCACAUUACCAAACCUGAGGUGAUCUUCAAGCUGGAGCAAGGAGAACCUUGGAUGGUAGAGGACACCAGAGCCUUCCAACUGUCCACAUAGUUGAUGACAUAAUUGAGAGGAGCCAAGAAAGUCACAGUAGACAUUUGUGGCAAGUUGUAAUUACGAAAAGCAAAUCAUCAGUUGAGAAGGGAGUGGAAUCAGGAAA